GAUUAAUAACACUUAAAAUGGUAGUUAUGUAUUUACGUAUGCAGCAUACCUAGAAAUAAAUAAAAUAUGUCAGGAAUAUUAACAAGGGACUAUUUUGUUACUAUGAUUGAGGUAAAGGUGCUUAACAGAUAUGUGAUAUGAAUUUUCACAGUAUAAUAGACUUUAUGCCGAGGGUAUCCUCAGACUGUUCAGUGCUUUACGGAAUCAGAUGUUCUCCUUGGUAUUUCAUCUAAGUUCACUGGAAUGUUUGUUUUCAUAUGCAAAAUACUGUAUACUAGACUGAUUUUAUAUAUGUAUAUGUCUUAAAUAUAUCCUAUACUGAUAUAAAAUGUAAUUACACAUUGAUCUUAAUUCAGAAAAAUAUUUCUUUCUACUCGAAAGUCAAUGUUUUUACCAUUUGAAAAGUUAUAAAAU